rnacentral:lncRNA from 1 species
ACAGUUCUAAUGGUUCCUCCUUCACUUUAAAGGAGGACGUCAGGCUGCAGGAGAAGAGGGAAAGGAAUAAAAUUCGCAGCUAUCUGAAAUCACCUUAUCCGACAUGGAUAAAGAAGGAUGUUUUCUUGAUUUUAGAUAGGUGUAACGGUUAACCCUCAUUGGCAAGGAAUGUGAACACUGCACUUGGACAUACUUAUUUUUAUUUGGUGAUAGAAGUUUAUUGUAUUUUUUGUGUUAGGAAUAUAAGUUCUUACGGUACCCCGACUCCCUAUGCAGGUAUGGGUUGUUACAGCUCUUACCAU